rnacentral:rRNA from 1 species
GUAGGGUGCGAGCGUUGUCCGGAAUUACUGGGCGUAAAGAGCUCGUAGGUGGUUUGUCGCGUUGUCCGUGAAAUCCCACGGCUUAACUGUGGGCGUGCGGGCGAUACGGGCAGACUAGAGUGCUGCAGGGGAGGCUGGAAUUCCUGGUGUAGCGGUGGAAUGCGCAGAUCUCAGGAGGAACACCGGUGGCGAAGGCGGGUCUCUGGGCAGCUACUGACGCUGAGGAGCGAAAGCGUGGGGAGCGAACAGGAUUAGAUACCCUGGUAGUCCACGCCGUAAACGGUGGGUACUAGGUGUGGGUUCUUUCCUAAGGAUCAGUGCCGUAGCUAACGCAUUAAGUACCCCGCCUGGGGAGUACGGCCGCAAGGCUA